rnacentral:lncRNA from 1 species
CAGUGCAUACACAAACGCACAUGCACACAGACACACAUACCUCCCCAUUCUCUCUCUCACCAUCUCCGACAGCCUGACAGGCGGAGCACCACCAGUCGCUGCCCCUCUCUCUCCUCUUCCCUCUCUCCUUCUCCUUCACUGUCGCCAACAAAAUCGACCGGAGCCGUUACCGCACCCAAUCCCCCGUUUUCUCUCUCCGCUUCAGCACCACCAGCUGCCACCACCGCCUCAACAUCCACCAGAGGAGCAUCCAACCAGACAAGCCAGCAGCCCAUUCCACCCGUGUUUCCACCACUGUCGUUGGAGCUUCCACGGGUCUCACUGCCAUCGCCACCCUUUCCCUCUUUGCCCUCAUCGUUGACCAGCCUACUAUCACUACUGUAUUUUCUCCCUUUACCUGCAUUUUUUAAUAAAAACUAUUCUUUGCAGAUCUGUUUGGCUUUCGUAUUUUUUGGUGUUGCUUCGGUGAAAUCCGUGGAAGCAGCGCCUCCCUUUUUCCAUUGUUGCAACCAGAUCUGACCGGGAAAUAUUUUUCUUUGUUGAAAUCUGUUUGUUAGCUUGUAUACUCUUGUAUCGUUAGUUUGUUCUAUCUGGAUAUUGUUACUGUGUUAACGGACUAAGUUUGUUAAUUUUUUUUUUUGUCUUUUGUUCGAAGAUAAAUCAGCUCGGAACUUACAUUCUUUUUGACAAAUUUUGGAUUAUUUUGAUAAAACUGUGAUGACCUCUGCCACUCGACUGCUUUCUUUCAUAAUUUUAUCACUUUUGCUUUAUGCUAUUAUCUUUCUCUGUCUCUUUAUUAUUAUUAUUAUUAUUAUUAUUAUUAUUAUUAUUUGUGGACUGAUUUAGUAUUGUUUAAAUUUAAAUUUUUUUCCAUUGACUUGCUAUUAUUUUACUUGAUUAUAUGAUCACUUAAAUAUGUGUUCUUGAUUCAUUUGAUAUUGAUGCGUAUUUUAAAUGACACGUGUAAUCUGUCUUUUUCUGUUUAUUUUUCAAUGAUUUUAGGUAGUAUUGGUAUGCAUCUUUAUUUUUUGCGCCUUAGUUACUUUAUUUUAUUUAUAUUUGAUUGUCCUUGAUUUAUUAGUUACUUUAUUUUAUUUAUAUUUGAUUGUUCUUGAUUUAUUUGAAUAUAUUUCAUCCACUUCCAAAAAUUUUGUUCGGCAAGUUGUGCUAUUGUGUUUUUGUUUCAUUUGACUACUGUUGUUUGUAAUUUUUUUUUUUUUUGCAUAUUAUUUUACAUUAUUUUAGUUGAUUUUAUAUAAUUUUGUGUUUGGAAAUAUAUUUGAUCGAUGAAGAAACUCUCCGUUGAUUUUCGAGGCCUUAGCAAAUAAAAAGAUGGAUAUUUCGUAUACAAAUACGUAAUAAAAUAAAUAAUUUCGAGUAAUGAUGAAUCUUUAUAAAUUCUUUUAAAAAAACUUUAUAUCAGCCCACUUUUUAACAAAAUUAUAUUUUUAAAUAAAUAUAUGUUCAUGUGCCUUUAUAAUUUAUGUUAUUACUAUUUAUUUGUUACUGACAUUGUUAUUACAAGUGUUUAUAUAGGUUAUUGAGAAUACUCAUCGGGAAUAGCAUGUAAAGAAGACCUUGAGUUUUAUAUUUGUAUUUUUAUAUUUUUAUAUUUAUACAAAUACUAUCAUAGUAAAAUUUUAUUUUUCGAGGCGUUGGACGGGAAUGUUCUUUAUUUAUACAAACAAACUUCAUCCUGCUUUUAGGCAAACUUAGGCCGUAAUAUUUAUACAAUUAAGAAUUAAAUUAAUUUAGAUAUUAAAUCAAACAAAAUUAAAAAUACUUUCUUCUCAUUUUUCAUACAUGUCUUUCUAUAUUCUUACGUUCAUAUUAUUUACGAUACAUAUAUAUUUAUACAUAGUUUAAAUGUAGAUUAUUUUAAUAUGCAUUUUUAUAUUUAUAUUUAUAAACAUCAAAGUUUUUCCUUCAUCUUUUAAUAAACCCAUUUUUAUAUUUAUAUUUAUAAACAUCGAAGUUUUUCCUUCAUCUUUUAAUAAACCUAAGUCUGGUUGGAAACCACAUUUGUGGAUUUUGAAGGAUGCCUAAUUCCUUUUCUUCGAAAUAAUUUGAAUAUUUACCUAGAAUUCAAACUGGUUUUGUAGAUUAAGUAAAUUCAUAUUUAUUAAACAAAUAAAUAGGUUUCUUAUUUUUUUUCUUAAAAAUUAGGUGGCGAUUCUGUAUAAAAAUCAAUUCUUUUAGAGUCAUAAAUGUCAUACUCGUUUAUACAGUUAGGUUGGAUAUAACAGUUUGGCGACUUUGUUGGGGAUGCAAGGUUCUAACCAUUACAAAUUUAGGUAAAUAUUUAUAUUUUUCUACUUUAUUAUUUGUUUCUUUUUAAUUGUCUUGAUUUAUCUUGUUUGUGUGGCAUAAAUUGUUAUUUGUUUUGUAUAACUUAUUUAUUUAUUUAUUGCUUUAUAUAAACUGACAUUCCGUUCAUAUUUUUUCCCUUUGGAAAAGAUGACACAAUCAUACAUACACGUGUGGUGUGUUUUGCGCAUCCGCAAAUUUAUUUCAAAAUCCUAAAUUUUAGGAGAGUUGGCAUAUAUGCAGAGUGUCCGAAGCCUUUUCUGUGUGCCCGUGUAGCUUUCUCACUCGAGUAGUUCGCUCGAGAACCACAGGUCUAGCAAACCCACUCUUAGUCGAACAUAGGAUAGAGCUAAAACAACACCUUUUUAGGCGUAUGCAUCAUUAGUCAACUUUAUGUUCGAAGGAUUGACAAUUCACGAGACAAUUAUUAUAGUCUUUGUUCAUAUUUGAAGGAUUAUUGUGUUUGUACAUAUUUAUUUGUUCUAAAUUAUUUAUUCUUUUGUGGGAAGGUGUAACCUAAUCUUUGUUUCCAUGGUUAAUCAGUUAAAAAAUACACCUUAUCAAUAUCACCACUAGUUGCGUAUAGAUUUGAACUACGUUUAAACCUAAUUCUUAUCCUGACAAGAUACGUAGGCAACCCUGCAUUAAAGUUCGGUCUCUUCACUAUUUCAAAAUAAUUUCAUCGGUAUUCAAGUUGGGGCAAUUUUCUUGAAAAGUUCAAAGACGUUCUCUAAAAAUCUUCAAGAGCACAAAUCAAUAGCUCCUCAAAAUUCCAAUCUCAAUAACAUUAGGGUCUAGCUAGCCUACCUCCAGAUUUUUACCUAUUUUUUGUGCAAGAAUAUCUAACUUCUUCUUUUAAAUGUCGUAAACUAUUAAAUUUAUGGCAUAUCGAUCCUCACUUUCAAAAACAAGAAUUCAAAUUUUUUUUCAGUUAUAAUAAUCCUUCCAACUGCAGCGAAAUAAUGUCAUAAUUCCUUCAAUGUUCGACUUUUUUAAUCUUGUCAGCAUACUGAAGUUGUGUCAAAGCUCUCCCUAUGCUUUACAUCCAUUGUUUUGAUUAUUUGAUCAGAACAAUUUUAAUGCUAAAAGCAGUUCUUUCUUAAUCGUCUUUCAUAUUAUUUUUAUGAAUGAUCAUCAAUUUUUUUAUAAUCAUACAUUGCACAUACAAAUUUGUAAAUUUGCUUAAACUACGCAGACCUGAUUAUUGUUUUCACAAGAUAUGUAGGCAACCCUCAGUUGGAUUUGAUCCCAUUCUUUUAGAAAAAUAAUAAAAUUUUGACUUGAUUAGUACCAAUACAGUUAGGAGUGUGCAUGCAAAAGAACAAAUUGGUAUGAUGUAAAUGACAUAUUUCAUGGUAAACCAUAGAUUCUCUUGGUACCUUUUAUCACACCUUAAUGAUGCCUGAAAAUUCUCUUGCAUACAUCUAAGACAAGAACGAAACCAACCUCGUCGUUUCUUGUGCAUUGUGUGUUUAGCGUUAGUUUAAUUACAACAACAACAACAAACCCAGUAUAUUUCCACCUAGUGGGGUCUGGGAAGGGUAGAAUGUACGCAGUCCAUACAACUACCUCUAAAGAAGUAGAGAGGCUGUUUUCGAUAGACCCCCGGCUCAAGACACAGGACAAUAUACAAAAAUAUUCAAAGCAUGAAACAUGAUAAAACUAACAUAGAUACAACAUCCACAAAAGUAAUGUACAAUACCAAACAAAAGACACCAAAACUCUCCUAACUAUGGACUACGAUUCAUCCACCCACCUUAUCCCUCUAUCCUAGUGUUUUAUCUCCAAACCUUCCUAUCCAGGGUUAUUUCCUCAGUGAGACGUAACUAAUCCAUGUCACGUCUAAUCACUUCUUUCCAGUAUUUCUUCGGUCUACCCUACCCCGCUUGAAACCAUCUAACGCUAGUCUCUCAUACCUACGAACUGGGGCAUCCGUGCCCCUCCUCAUCACAUGACCAAACCAUCUCUACCUCACUUUCCGCAUUUUUUCCUCCACCGAUACCACUCUCACCUUCUCCCGAAUAAUCUCAUUCCUAACCCUGUCAGCCCUUGUAAGACCACAUAUCCAACACAACAUCCUCAUUUCCGCCACCUUCAACUUUUGGAUAUGGGAAGUCUUAACUGGCCAAUACUCCGCUCCGUACAACAUAGCCGGCCAGACUGCAACUCUAUAUAAUUUGCCUUUAAACUUGGGAGACACCUUCUUAUCGCAUAAAAUCCUCGAAGCGAGCCUCCAUUUUAUCCAACCUGCCCCAAUACGGUGCGAGAUAUCCUCAUCUAUCUCUUCAUUUCCCUGGAUCGUAGACCCAAGAUACUUAAAACUAUCCCUCUUGCAAACUGCUUGAGAAUCCAACUUCACCACCACCUCUUCCUCUUGCCUCGAGUCACUAAACUUGCACUCCAAAUGCUUCGUCUCGUUCCUACUCAAUAUGAAACCUUUAGACUCUAGAGUUUGUCUCCAAACCUCCAACUUACCAUUAACACCUUGCCGCGACUCAUCAAUCAAAACUACAUCGUCCACAAAAAGCAUACACCAAGGCACCUCACCUUGUAAACUCCACGUCAGCACAUCCAUCACCAUGGAAAAUAAGAACGAACUAAGAGCCGAUACCUGAUGCAACCCUAUCAAGACCGAAAAAUGCUCAGAAUCUCCUCCCACCGUCCUUACUCGAGUCUUCGCCCCCUCAUGCAUAUCCUUAAUAGCUCUAAUGUACGCCACAGGAACCUCCCUCACCUCCAAGCAUCUCCAAAGAAUCUCCCUAGGGACCUUGUCAUACGCCUUUUCCAAGUUAAUAAGUACCAUGUGAAGAUCUCUCUUCCUCUCUCUGUACUGCUCUACCAGUCUUCGCACAAGGUGAAUUGCCUCUGUCGUCGAGCGACCAGACAUAAAUCCAAAUUGAUUCUCCAAAAUAGACACAAUUUUUCUCAACCUCCGCUCUACCACUCUCUCCCAAAUCUUCAUCGUGUGACUCAACAACUUAAUACCUCGGUAGUUGUUGCAACUCUGAAUGUCACCCUUGUUCUUGUAUAGAGGAAUCAUCGUGCUCCAUCUCCAUUCCUCAAGCAUCUUCACGGAUUUGAAAAUGUUGUUAAACAAGUUGGUCAGCCACCUUAACCCAGCCACGCUAGAAAACUUCCAAAAAUCCACCGAAAUCUCGCCGGGCCCCGUCGCCCUGCCCCUUCGCAUCUUGCGAAUAGCCUCGCUGACAUCCUCUACUUUAAAACGUCGACAAUAGCCGAAAUUGCGACACUCCCCGGUAUGAUCCAACUCCCCUAGCACAACACCUCUGUCCUCCUCGUCAUUCAAGAGUUUAUGAAAAUACGAUUGCCAUCUUUUCGUAAUAAGGGCGUCCUCCACCAAUACUCUACCAUCUUCCCCCCUUAAUGCACUUUACUUGAUCCAGAUCCCGACCCUUUCGUUCCCUAGCCUUGGCAAUCCUAAACAACCUCUUUUCCCUGCCUUUCUCCUCUAACCCCGUAUACAAACUCUCAAAAGCUGUUGUCUUAGCAGCUGUAACUGCUAACUUAGCCUCCUUCUUAGCUAACUUAUAGUCCUCCAUACUAACCUGUUUCUCCUCUUCAUCCUUACUCUCCACCAAUUUAACAUAAGCCGUCUUCUUCGUCUCCAUCUUCUUCUUAACGUCUUCAUUCCACCACCAAUCCCCUCGAUAUCGGCCUGACCAGCCCCUCGAGAUACCCAACACUUCUUUAGCAGAUUCUUUGAUACAUCCCGCAGUCCUAUCCCACAUACUAUCUACGUCCCCGCUAUCCUCCCAAACCCCCAUCCCUUCCAACUUCGCCCCUAUCUCCAAGGCACUAGCUGGAGUCAGUCCACCCCACCUAACUCUAGGAUGGCCCUCCCCACCUCGUCUCUUCUUGCCCUUCUUGAUACCCAAUUUUAUCACUAGAAGUCUAUGCUGGAUCACAAGAUUCUCACUCGGGAUAGCCUUACAAUCCUUACACAUUGCUCUAUCUCCCUUCCUAAGCAGCAAAAUGUUAAUUUGAGUCUUGGCUAGCCUACUACAAAAAGUAACCAGAUGCUCCUCCUUCUUUGGAAAGUUGGAAUUCAUUACCACUAACCCAAAGGCCCUCACAAAAUCUAAAAGAGCAGCUCCCUCAACAUUUCUAUCCCCGAACCCGAAACCUCCAUGCAUAUCAUCAUAACCCAUCGGCAGAGACCCGAUGUGCCCAUUAAAAUCCCCUCCUAUGAAAAUCAUCUCUGAACUAGGUACGCCUCUUACCACCUCGUCCAAAACCUCCCAAAAGUUUAAUUCGUUGCAUUAUAUUGUUGAUCUAGAACUUGGCUUUAAUGUUCGUUGAGGCAAAAUUCUGAGUUGCACUUAAUUUAGGAAAGGACCGUAGGCCUUCUUUGGGCCGGUUGAGCCUUUUACAGCCUACCAAAUGACAUUGAUCCCUAGCAUUUCCCCUUUUGAUCCUAAAACUUUUUCUUUGGACAAUCGUAUCUGAGCCUAUACCUUUUUUAAGUGCUUACAUGCACUAUCCCUUUCUUGGCCCUACCUCCUUAAGUGCACUAAAUACGUGCAAAUUAAAAACGAAGGUUCAAGAUCAAAGACGCAAAAUGCAAAGGAUACGUUGUUCCAAAUGAACAAAAUGAAAAAAACGACUUCAAAAGAAGCAAAAUUCCCCACAAAAAAAAGAGAAAAGAAAUCCCCCACAAAGAAAUCCAACACAAGAUUCAAAAAAGUCGAAGCAAGUACAAAACAAGGGGCAACGGAACACAACUAAAAAGAUCACGCGUUAAAGUGCAACAAAUGUUGAAAGCACAAAUGCAAUACAAUGCUCAUUGAGAAAUUAGUUACUUUUAUCCCAAAUAUUAUCCUACCCACCCCCAAGCCCACAUUACAACCCAAUAACAAGUCCUACCGGAUUCUAUUCCAAGCGUUCUCACAUUGGUGUAUACUUACAUGAAGGUCAAGCCUAUAGUAUCACAAUUGCAUGCAUUGAAUUUCUUUUCGAGUGUGAGUGUAUUUCUUGAUACAUUCCUAAAUUCAAAAGAAAAUUACUCAAAUAUAUGCAAAAUGAGACUUUCUUACUCAAAUAUAUGCGAAAAUAAAACUUUCUUUCUAAGGCACUUGAAUCAUAAGGAUAGGCAUAGUUUGACUUUUUUGAAUGAAGCAAGAUGAGUAAGUCUUGUCGAUAUUUAGGUGUGUCUGAGGUACCACUUGAAACUAUAAAAGUUACCAUAAAAUCGAUCUCGGUAAGCUGGGAAGGAGAUGGGGAAAUUUUUAUGCAUACUAUUAAUUAUUGGUACCAACUGAAGCCAAGACACGAUCAUGCCUUUUUUAUCUUUUAGCACUUUUUAUUGAGAAAAUACAAUUUUUUUCAAGACACCUAAUUUCAUAUACGAGCGUUUGUUUCAUCUUUCAUUCAAGGUGCCCACUUUCAUAUAUAUGUAUUUUUACUUUUUAUUUAAGGUGAUCAAUUUUGAAAUACGGGCAUUAGAUUUUUUCUUUCAAGCACAUAUCUUUAAAUAUCGAUAUUUUGUUUUUCGAUCAAGCGCCUAUUUUUUGGUGUUUUUACAUUUUUUAUAGCCCCUCCUGUCGAGAGUAUAUUACAUUUGUUUUGCAGUUUAAAGCCUUUUACAUUUCAAUAGCCCCGUCAAUUGAGUGACUAUUAGAUUUCAGCCAGCUCACUUGUUGAGGGCCUUAGUCUUCGUAGACAAUAAAAAAUGACAAUCAACAUUAGUCUUCAUAACAAUCGAAGAUGUCAUACAUUUUUUCCACGUCUCGAUAAGCAAUCGGAGGCGUCAUGCAUUUUUCAAUUCACAAUAGUUAGACAUUUUUUUAGUUCCCUUAGAAGAGGUCUUGUUGGCCAUAGAUCAUACACUAGGGCAAAUUUUGAGAGCCGCCUCAAAAUUUACUCUAUUUCUUUACUUUGAACUACAUUGACCUGAUUCUCGUGACACUCGAGAUAUGUAGGAAGCUCUAUGCAGAUUUAGGUCAUCACAAUCUCAUAAUCAUUCUUUCUCCUUAGUAAGUACACAAUAUUGCAUCAUAAAACUCGAUACUGGAGUAAUUUUGAAAGCAACAUCGAAAAUAUAUGAACACUUUCAUUCUCAAAUAAUUCUUUGCUCAAUAAUCAUUUUUUACAGGGAUUUGUCCACCCUAAAAUAGGAUAAUUGGGUCAGUCUGCCCUCCAAUAAGACAGUUAUGCAUGUUUUUAUUCAAUUAAAUAUUUAUGCUCUUUACUUGCACAUAUCACACUUCAUUUAUUUCUUUUUACAAUGCAUGUUAUCUUUGUCUUUACUUGCAUGCAAAACAAUGUAUUUAUUUUAUCAUUUGUUAUUUAAGCAUUGUAUAUUUUUCUUGCCUUUAUUUGCACAUCUCAGAAUACAUUUAUUUUAUUUAAGCACUGUAUUUUUUUUGCCUUUACCUGCACAUACUACAAUGCAUUUAUUUUAUCAUUUAAGCACUAUAUUUUAUCUUUGCCUUUAUUUGCAUGCAUCACAAUGAAUUUAUUUUAUCGUUUAAGCAUCACAUUUUAUCUUUGUCUUUACUUGCACACAUUGCAAUGCAUUUAUUUUAUAGUUUAAGCACUACAGUCUAUCUUUUCCUUUACUUGCACGCAUAGCAAUGCAUUUAUUUCAUCAUUUUAAACACUGCAUAUUAUCUUCAUCGCAAUGCAUCUAAGCACUACAUGUCAUCUUUGUAUUUAUUUACACAUGUCAUAAUGCACUUAUUUUAUUAUUUAAGCACUGGAUGUUAUCGCUGUCUUUGCCUGCACAUAUCGCAAUGCUUUUAUCAUUUAAGCACUGCACGCAUAUAUCGCAAUGCAUUUAUUUUAUCAUUUAGGCACUACAUGCGUCGCAAAAAUCGCAAUUUAUUUAUUUUAUCAUUUAAGCAUCACAUGUCAUUUUUUUCUUUAUCGACGUAUAUUGUUAUGCAUUUAAGCACUGCACGCACAUAUUGCAAUGCAUUUAUUUUAUCCUUUAAGCACUGCACGCCUCGCAAAUAUCGCAAUGAAUUUAUUUUAUUGUUUAAGCAUUGCAUGUCUCGCAUAUAUGGCAAUGCAUUUAUGUUAUUGUUUAAGCACUGCAUGUCAUAUUUGCCUUUACUGGCACAUAUUGCAAUGCAUUUAUUUAAGCUCUGCAUGCAUAUAUUGCAAUGUAUUUAUUUAUCAUUUAGGUACUGUACGCCUGCACAUAUUGCAAUGUCUUUGUUUUAUUAUUUGAGCUCUGAAUGCCAUCUUGGCUUUUCCUUGCACAUAUCGCAAUGCAUUUAUUUUACAGAUAAUACAUCAAAACUCCCCUGAACUUGUCCCGAUAACUUACUUUAGCACUUAAACUUUAUGGAUAAUUAUUUACCCCCUUAAUAUCUUUAUAGUGAAUUAAUUUUCCCUCUUAUGCUGAUGUGGCAUUUUUUUUAAAGAAAAAAAAUAAAAAAAAUGCAUGAACAGUAUUUUUUUAAAAUACUAAUAUAUAUAUAUAUAAAGAAAACAAAAACUCCUCUUCUUCACCCAUACCCGCCAACAGCCCCCCACCACCACCAAAUCCGCCAACACCCCCAUCCUACUUCUCCUCCAAUUACGAAAGCUGCCACCCCCCACCUUUAAUUUAUCCUCCUUCGACCCCUUAGAUUAAUAAAAGAAGAAUGAAAUUAAAUUUGAAAAUUAAAAAAUCUAUAUGAUUUGGAUGUUUGGUUUUUGAUUUUAGAGAAUUUGGUGUUGAUUUGAUUGAAGUUUUCAUGUGGAUUGAGUUUUUUUUAUCACCAUUUUAUGAUAUUUUUCGAUGGUGGCAAUUGAAUUUUUGAAGUGGGUUGAGUUUUCCGGCGAAAAUUCGCCGAAAUUUUCACCAAAAAACCUGGUCGGUGUGGUUGUGUAGGGGUGAACGAAGGUGGAUGGAGAAUGUUUAGGUGUGGCAGUGUAAGGGUGGGUGGGGCGUGUGUGCAGGUGUAGGGGUUGACGGGAGGGGCGGGGGAGGGGGAGUUAAAAUAUGUAUAUAUAUAUAUAUAUAUAUAUAUAUAUAUAAAUAAUAUUUAUAUAUAUUUUUAUAGAUAUUUUAUAUAUUUAUAUAUAAAAAUAUUUUAAAAAUACUUUAUUUACGUGGCUAUGACGUGACGGUGAUGUGACGCUGCUAUGGCAGCGAUUGUGAUGCACUCUCUCUCAUGAGAGUAGUGUUAUAUACUAAGGGGGGAAAUUAAUUCAGUUGAAAGAUGUUAAGGGGGGUAAACAAUUAUUUCUAAAGUUUAAGUGCUAAAGUAAGUUGUCGAAGCAAGUUCAGUGGGAUUUUGAUGUAUUAUCUCUUUAUUUUAUAAUUUAAACACCGCAUGUCAUUUUUACAUUUAUUUGCACAUCACAAUGUAUUUAUUUUGUUAUUUAAGCAUUGCACGCUUUGCCUUUACCUGCACAUAUCGCAACACACUUAUUUUACCAUUUAAGCACUGGAUGUUAUCUUUGUUUGUACCAUUUUUCUUAAUUAGUUAAGCACUGCAUGCUAUCUUUAAUUUCUCAAAAAAAGAAAAAAACAAGCUUAAUUUUUUGUUUGUAUUUUAUUGAGUAGUACUUCUUAGUUUGAUGCAUUUGCAAGUAUAUAAUUUGUGGAUGAAUUGGGUACGUCCACCCUAAAAUAGGACAUUUUAGGUUAGUCUGCCCUUUAAUAAAACAUUUUAUGCAUGUCUGUCUUUAAUUGAAUAUUUUAUUUGUCUUUAGUUAAAAUCUUGCAAUACAUUUAUUUAUUUAUCUUUAGUUUAGUUAAGCACUACAUAUCAUUUUUUCGAAUUUCUUGAAAAAAGAAAAAAAAUCAAGCUUUGUUACUCGUUUGUGUACUGUUUUUCAGUUUUAUAAAUUUUGCAAGCAUAGAGUUCGAGGAAGCAUUGGGUUUGCCUAACCCAAAAUAGGACAUGUUGGGAUAGCUUUUGAACUAUACCCUCCCUGAUCCUCAUGCAACACGAAAUAUGUAGGCAACUUUAAAUUGAAGUUCGUUCGAAUUCUUUAAUCAAAGAUAAUUUUUUUUCUUUUUAUCGAGCAAAAUUGGUUACACGUCAAUAUUUUCGUCUAAAGACUUCUAUAUCUUCUUCAAACAAAAAGUGGCAAAGUGUUGACACCCAAUUUUGGCUCUCCAAACAUAAAAUUAAUGCAUUCAGGCUCCUUGAUCGUUAAAUAGCAUAAAAUAUAUUUUUUCGUAUAUUUUUUACAAUUGUUAAUAAAUUAUUGAUAUUCAUCAUUAUUUUAGAAUUUUUAAUAAUUUAUUGUUUUAACUUUGCAUAAUUUAUUGAUAAUUAUUCUUAAUUUCAUAAAUUUUAGAAUUUUUGUCAGUUUAUUAUCAUUUUAAAUUUUUGUACAGUUAUUUGCAUGCGUAUAUAGCAUAGCAUUAUAAAUUUUUUGUAGCACACUAUAACUUAAAUUAUUUAUAGAAUAAUAAAUUUUUUAGAUAAUUUUAUUAUAUUUGUUAGUUGUAUUUUUCUGUAAUUAUAUAUCGACAUUCAUAUUUUUAUACGUUAUUUAAUAUAGUCUGCAAACAAUAAUGUCGGCUUAAUUAUUUUGAUAUACAAAGUAACAAAUUAAUCAAGUUAAAUCUCAUCACCUUUUAAAAAGUGAUAAUUAUGACGGGUGAACGCUUUCAUUCAUGGAAUAAAUAAUUUUUACACAUUAGUUAAAAAGGUGUAAGAACCAUUGAAUAACAUCUAGUAACUUAAAUUAUGUAUUAAAGAGACAAGAAAAAGUAGUUUAUUAUUUUUUGGAUAAAAAAAUAAAGUUUUUUUUAUUACUUUCUCCGUUUAAAAAAAAAUAAUCUAUUUUAUUGAAAUUAAAAUAUUAUAGAAAAAGAAUUAUUAUUUUUCGAACGAACUAAAUCCGAAGGUAGUUAUUUUUAAAAAAGAGGGAGUAUAAAUAAUAACAAGAGGGGUAAUUAUUUGUAACCUCAUAGUGCACACACAAACGCACAUACACACAUACGCACAUACCUCUCCAUUCUCUCUCUCACCAUCUCCGACCGCGUGACAGGCGGAGCACCACCAGUCGCUGCCCUUAUCUCACUCAUCUUUCCUUUCUCCUUCUUCCUCUUCACCGCCGCCAACAAAAUCGACCGGAGCCGCUGCCGCCCCCAUCCCUCUUUUUCUCUCUCCGCUCCAGCACCACCAGCUGCCACCGCGGCCUCAACAGCCACCGGCGGAGCAGCCAACCAGAUAAGUCAGCAGCCCGUUACACCCGUGUUUCCACCACCGUUGUCGGAGCUCGGGCAGGUCUCACUGCCAUCGCCUCCCUUUCCCUCUUUGCCCCUAUCGCUGACCAGCCUACUAUCACUACAGUAUCUUCUCCCUUUACCUGCAUUUUUGUAAUAAAAAUUAUUUUUUGAAGAUCUGUUUGGCUUUUGUAUUUUUUGGUGUUGCUCCGGUGAAAUCCGUGGACUUAGUGCCUCUCUUUUUCAUUGUUGCAACCAGAUCUGAUCGGGAAAUAUUUUUCUGUGUUGAAGUCUGUUAGCUCGUAUACUCUUGUAUCGUUAUUUUGUUCUGUCUGGGUAUUGUUACUGUAUGAACGGAUUAAGUUUGUUAAUUUCUAUUUUUUUCUUGUGUUUGUUCGAAGAUAAAUCAGCUCAGAACUUACAUUCUUUUUGACAAAUUUUGGAUUAUUUUGAUAAAAAUGAGAUGACCUCUGCUACUCGACUGCUUUCGUUCAUAAUUUUAUCACUUUUGCUUUAUGCCGUUAUAUUGUCUUUCUUUAUAUUAUCUUUCUUUGUCUCUUUAUUAUUAUUAUUUGGGGACUGAUUUAGUAUUGUUUAAAAUUUUCUUUUCAUUGACUUGUUAUUAUUUUAGUUGAUGAUAUGAUCACUUGAAUAUGUGUUCUUGAUCCAUUUGAUAUUGGUGCGUAUUUUAAAUGACACAUGUAAUCUGUCUUUUUCUGUUUAUUUUCCAAUGAUUUUAAGUAGUAUUGGUGUGCAUCUCUAUUUUUUGCGACUUAGUUACUUUAUUUUAUUUAUAUUUGAU